rnacentral:rRNA from 1 species
ACCUGGUUGAUCCUGCCAGUAGUCAUAUGCUUGUCUUAAAGAUUAAGCCAUGCAUGUCUAAGUAUAAGCAUUUAUACCGCGAGACUGCGGACUCUCCAUUUAAACAGCUAUGAUUUAUUUGAUGGUUCCUUUGCUACUAGAAUAACCGUAGUAAUUUCUAGAGCUAAUACAUGCACGAAAGAGAGCGAACUUACGAAGCCCUGUAUUUAUUAGAUUAAAGCCCAACCCACCUCCGGGUGUUCGUGGUGAAUCAUAGUAACUUCUCGGAUCGCCGGCUCUACGCCAGCGACGUGUCAUUCAAAUUUCUGCCCUAUCAGCUUUAGAUGGUAGGAUAUGGGCCUACCAUGGCGGUGACGGGUAACGGAGAAUUAGGGUUCGAUUCCGGAGAGGGAGCCUGAGAAACGGCUACCACUUCUAAGGAAGGCAGCAGGCGCGCAAAUUACCCAAUCCUGACUCAGGGAGGUAGUGACAAGAAAUAACAAUAAACCGGCUUAUGCCGGUUUAAUUGGAAUGAGUACAAUUUAAACAUCUUAACGAGGAACAAUUGGAGGGCAAGUCUGGUGCCAGCAGCCGCGGUAAUUCCAGCUCCAAUAGCGUAUACUAAAAUUGUUGCAAUUAAAAAGCUCAUAAUUAGAUUUCUGUAAAAGCAGAGCGGCCGGCUGCAACUUGCAGUACGAGCUAGCGCUUCCCCUACAUCCUGCCGCGAACCGUGCUACCAUUAGUUUAGUGGCGCCAAAGAUCGGCUCGUUUACUUUGAGAAAAAUAGAGUGUUCAAAGCAGGCCACACCCCUUGAAUAAGUUAGCAUGGAAUAAUAAUAAAGGACUUCGGUUCUAUUUUGUUGGUGUUCGGGACUGAAGUAAUGAUUGAUAGGGACAGUUGGGGCGGUCUGUAUUCCAAAGCGAGAGGUGAAAUUCUUAGACCUUCGGAAGACAAACAGCUGCGAAAGCGUUUCCGCAAGGAUGGUUCCCUUUUGAUCAAGAACGAAAGUCGAGGGAUCGAAGACGAUCAGAUACCGUCGUAGUCUCAACUAAAACCUAUACCAGCUAGGGAUCGGCCAACGUUAUUUCAUACCGACUUGGUCGGCACCUUAUGAGAAAUCAAAGCAUCUGGGUUCCGGGGGGAGUAUGGUCGCAAGGCUGAAACUUAAA